GGAAUAUUCCACAAUGGGGGGAACCCUGAUGGAGCGACGCCGCGUGAGUGAAGAAGGGCUUCGGCUCGUAAAGCUCUUUUCUCGUUGACGAAUUAGCCUUCGAGGCAGUUGACGGUAGACGGGGAAUAAGCCACGGCUAACUACGUGCCAGCAGCCGCGGUAAUACGUAGGUGGCAAGCGUUGUCCGGAAUUAUUGGGCGUAAAGGGAGCGCAGGCGGGACGGUAAGUCCAAAUUAAAAGUGCAGUAGUAAUGACUGUGAUGGUUUGGAAACUAUCGUUCUUGAGAGCAGGAGAGGCAAGCGGAAUUCCCAGUGUAGCGGUGAAAUGAGUAGAUAUCGGGAGGAACACCAGUGGCGAAGGCGGCUUGCUGGACUGUGUCUGACGCUGAGGCUCGAAAGCCGGGGUAGCGAACG
rnacentral:rRNA from 1 species